CAGUCGCCGCGGUAAUACGUAGGUGGCAAGCGUUGUCCGGAUUUAUUGGGCGUAAAGCGAGCGCAGGCGGUUUCUUAAGUCUGAUGUGAAAGCCCCCGGCUCAACCGGGGAGGGUCAUUGGAAACUGGGAGACUUGAGUGCAGAAGAGGAGAGUGGAAUUCCAUGUGUAGCGGUGAAAUGCGUAGAUAUAUGGAGGAACACCAGUGGCGAAGGCGGCUCUCUGGUCUGUAACUGACGCUGAGGCUCGAAAGCGUGGGGAGCGAACAGGAUUAGAUACCCGUGUAGUCCCUGUCUCUUAUAC
rnacentral:rRNA from 1 species